rnacentral:lncRNA from 1 species
CAAACCUGCAUUGGUUCCUACAAUAAAACAACCCUAGGGCCCUCGGUGGGCCAAAAAAUCAUGAAAAAUCGAGACUUACUGGCGGCAGAGCUCUUGGCGGCGGCUUCUCCGGCGCGAGUCACGGUUUGAUGUUUUGCUUCGGUCAACCUGCAGAGAAAAGGAUGGUGAUCACAGUGGUGUAAAAAUUGCAUCAAACAGGAACCGAAAAGGGCCUCAUCGGAGGCAAAAAUCGAAGGAAGUCGCGGCGGCGGCGCUGGACUUCGGUGGUGUUUUUCGGCAGAAUGGCUGGUGGUUUGGCUCCGAUUUGGCCAUAGGCAGAUUCAGCUUCGAAAAUUGAGCCAAGGGGAGAAAAUUUUCCUCGUUUGGCGAUCGGAAAACCCUCCGGUGCAGUGGCGGGUGGCGGCGGCCGGCUCCUCUGGCGACUGGUUCUUAUUCUCCGGCAAGAGCACUGGCGGCUAAGGUUUGGGGUCGGGUGUGGGUGAGGUUAUUUAUAAUCUUCCCCAUUUAAUCUCAGCCGUCCAUCAUGAUUUAAUCUAGACCGUCCAAUCACGAUUAAAAUAGGAAUAAAUCUGGCCUGUCCAUCGUGAUGCGAUUUGGGCCAUCCGCAUGCAUGAGAUCUGAGCCGUCCGUGUUCUUGAGAUCUAGGCUGUCCGCACGCAUGAGAUCUGGACCGUUCGAUCGUGUGCACGCGGAUUGCUCACGUGGCUCCGUCCGUGUGAUCUCCUGCGUCAGCUUCCUUGCCACACGGCGUGUUCUGGUUGGCCGAGGCCGCUAACUGGGCUGUUAACGUGGCUGCUGACGUGGCACAACUUUCCUAAAUUGCAUUUUGACCCAUGGUUUCCGAUUUUCUUUUUAAAAACACUCCCAGAAUCUAAAUUUUCACCCCUUUU